rnacentral:rRNA from 1 species
AGCGUACACGGUGGAUGCCCUGGCAGUCAGAGGCGAUGAAGGACGUGCUAAUCUGCGAUAAGCGUCGGUAAGGUGAUAUGAACCGUUAUAACCGGCGAUUUCCGAAUGGGGAAACCCAGUGUGUUUCGACACACUAUCAUUAACUGAAUCCAUAGGUUAAUGAGGCGAACCGGGGGAACUGAAACAUCUAAGUACCCCGAGGAAAAGAAAUCAACCGAGAUUCCCCCAGUAGCGGCGAGCGAACGGGGAGCAGCCCAGAGCCUGAAUCAGUGUGUGUGUUAGUGGAAGCGUCUGGAAAGGCGCGCGAUACAGGGUGACAGCCCCGUACACAAAAAUGCACAUACUGUGAGCUCGAUGAGUAGGGCGGGACACGUGGUAUCCUGUCUGAAUAUGGGGGGACCAUCCUCCAAGGCUAAAUACUCCUGACUGACCGAUAGUGAACCAGUACCGUGAGGGAAAGGCGAAAAGAACCCCGGCGAGGGGAGUGAAAAAGAACCUGAAACCGUGUACGUACAAGCAGUGGGAGCACGCUUAGGCGUGUGACUGCGUACCUUUUGUAUAAUGGGUCAGCGACUUAUAUUCUGUAGCAAGGUUAACCGAAUAGGGGAGCCGAAGGGAAACCGAGUCUUAACUGGGCGUUAAGUUGCAGGGUAUAGACCCGAAACCCGGUGAUCUAGCCAUGGGCAGGUUGAAGGUUGGGUAACACUAACUGGAGGACCGAACCGACUAAUGUUGAAAAAUUAGCGGAUGACUUGUGGCUGGGGGUGAAAGGCCAAUCAAACCGGGAGAUAGCUGGUUCUCCCCGAAAGCUAUUUAGGUAGCGCCUCGUGAAUUCAUCUCCGGGGGUAGAGCACUGUUUCGGCAAGGGGGUCAUCCCGACUUACCAACCCGAUGCAAACUGCGAAUACCGGAGAAUGUUAUCACGGGAGACACACGGCGGGUGCUAACGUCCGUCGUGAAGAGGGAAACAACCCAGACCGCCAGCUAAGGUCCCAAAGUCAUGGUUAAGUGGGAAACGAUGUGGGAAGGCCCAGACAGCCAGGAUGUUGGCUUAGAAGCAGCCAUCAUUUAAAGAAAGCGUAAUAGCUCACUGGUCGAGUCGGCCUGCGCGGAAGAUGUAACGGGGCUAAACCAUGCACCGAAGCUGCGGCAGCGACACUAUGUGUUGUUGGGUAGGGGAGCGUUCUGUAAGCCUGUGAAGGUGUACUGUGAGGUAUGCUGGAGGUAUCAGAAGUGCGAAUGCUGACAUAAGUAACGAUAAAGCGGGUGAAAAGCCCGCUCGCCGGAAGACCAAGGGUUCCUGUCCAACGUUAAUCGGGGCAGGGUGAGUCGACCCCUAAGGCGAGGCCGAAAGGCGUAGUCGAUGGGAAACAGGUUAAUAUUCCUGUACUUGGUGUUACUGCGAAGGGGGGACGGAGAAGGCUAUGUUGGCCGGGCGACGGUUGUCCCGGUUUAAGCGUGUAGGCUGGUUUUCCAGGCAAAUCCGGAAAAUCAAGGCUGAGGCGUGAUGACGAGGCACUACGGUGCUGAAGCAACAAAUGCCCUGCUUCCAGGAAAAGCCUCUAAGCAUCAGGUAACAUCAAAUCGUACCCCAAACCGACACAGGUGGUCAGGUAGAGAAUACCAAGGCGCUUGAGAGAACUCGGGUGAAGGAACUAGGCAAAAUGGUGCCGUAACUUCGGGAGAAGGCACGCUGAUAUGUAGGUGAAGUCCCUCGCGGAUGGAGCUGAAAUCAGUCGAAGAUACCAGCUGGCUGCAACUGUUUAUUAAAAACACAGCACUGUGCAAACACGAAAGUGGACGUAUACGGUGUGACGCCUGCCCGGUGCCGGAAGGUUAAUUGAUGGGGUUAGCGCAAGCGAAGCUCUUGAUCGAAGCCCCGGUAAACGGCGGCCGUAACUAUAACGGUCCUAAGGUAGCGAAAUUCCUUGUCGGGUAAGUUCCGACCUGCACGAAUGGCGUAAUGAUGGCCAGGCUGUCUCCACCCGAGACUCAGUGAAAUUGAACUCGCUGUGAAGAUGCAGUGUACCCGCGGCAAGACGGAAAGACCCCGUGAACCUUUACUAUAGCUUGACACUGAACAUUGAGCCUUGAUGUGUAGGAUAGGUGGGAGGCUUUGAAGUGUGGACGCCAGUCUGCAUGGAGCCGACCUUGAAAUACCACCCUUUAAUGUUUGAUGUUCUAACGUUGACCCGUGAUCCGGGUUGCGGACAGUGUCUGGUGGGUAGUUUGACUGGGGCGGUCUCCUCCUAAAGAGUAACGGAGGAGCACGAAGGUUGGCUAAUCCUGGUCGGACAUCAGGAGGUUAGUGCAAUGGCAUAAGCCAGCUUGACUGCGAGCGUGACGGCGCGAGCAGGUGCGAAAGCAGGUCAUAGUGAUCCGGUGGUUCUGAAUGGAAGGGCCAUCGCUCAACGGAUAAAAGGUACUCCGGGGAUAACAGGCUGAUACCGCCCAAGAGUUCAUAUCGACGGCGGUGUUUGGCACCUCGAUGUCGGCUCAUCACAUCCUGGGGCUGAAGUAGGUCCCAAGGGUAUGGCUGUUCGCCAUUUAAAGUGGUACGCGAGCUGGGUUUAGAACGUCGUGAGACAGUUCGGUCCCUAUCUGCCGUGGGCGCUGGAGAACUGAGGGGGGCUGCUCCUAGUACGAGAGGACCGGAGUGGACGCAUCACUGGUGUUCGGGUUGUCAUGCCAAUGGCACUGCCCGGUAGCUAAAUGCGGAAGAGAUAAGUGCUGAAAGCAUCUAAGCACGAAACUUGCCCCGAGAUGAGUUCUCCCUGACUCCUUGA